rnacentral:lncRNA from 1 species
UCUAGUGGCAAGAGGGAACUGCCAAGGGAAAUCUGAGAGGAGGUGUUUACCCUGCGUAAACACCUUGCUGUUUAGCUUGGCAUCCCUAGAAGCAGACCCUGAGGACAGUGGGAAAAUGGAUUAUUAAGGAAGUGCUCCUGAGAGAAACCAGAAAGGGGGUGUAGGGAGCAAGGGAGGAUAAGGAGAAGACUCCAGUAAGGAUGAGAUUACUCAAGUCCCAUGGAAGACAGGUUAGCCUGAUCCUGCAGGGGAGCCCUGGAGGACUUAACAUCUCUGGAAAGCCAGAAAUCAGAGAUACAGAGAAGUAUUGAAAUGCUGAAAUGCUAUGAAUUUACUAUAAGAGAACAUUCUUCACUGAAGAGAUCUCUAGCUGCCAAAACACCCUUUCAUGCGUGAAAUACCGGGGCAAAGAGGAAGGAAAAGAGAAGAGUAUGACUCUAGGAACCAUGUUGCAGAAAUGCCAAAGGGUGGGACAAACAAAUAUAUUUAUAACAUAAAUGAGAACCAAGAAGACAAACAAACCAAAUCUCUGGGGAACAGAAGCCACUCUACAAAGUCUUCACAACGGAGCUAAUAUUUGAUUUGCAUUUUGGAGGAGAAAUAGAAAUUUGCUCAAUGGACUGAAGUGUGGGCAGGAGAAAAAGGGAAUCCUUGGCAGAAACACCGUAACAUGGAAUGGUGAAAAACAAAACAAAAUACAAUGAGAUUAAGGAACUGCAGAAAUACUUCUAAACCUGGAACAUAGGGUAUAAAAAAGGAAGACUCAAGAUAUGGUUCCAAGUUCCUUAGACCGUGGCUAUAUCAUGAAGAGCCUUAGAUGGCAAAGUAAAAAGUUUGAAUUUUGUAUUUUAUGAUCCUUAAAGUGCCUAGGAAAAUAUUAACACAUAUGAGCUAUCCAUAUAAUCGUUCUUGAACUGAAAUUACAAGUAUAUAGAGUAUGUGUCAGGAG